UACAGAGGUCUCAAGCGUUGUUCGGAUUCAUUGGCCGUAAAGGGUGCGUAGGCGGCGCGGUAAGUCGGGUGUGAAAUCUUGGAGCUUAACUCCGAAACUGCAUUCGAUACUGCCGUGCUUGAGGACUGGAGAGGAGACUGGAAUUACGGUGUAGCGGUGAAAUGCGUAGAUAUCGUAAGGAAGACCAGUGGCGAAGGCGG
rnacentral:rRNA from 1 species